CACUAUCGUUAACUGAAUACAUAGGUUAACGAGGCGAACCGGGGGAACUGAAACAUCUAAGUACCCCGAGGAAAAGAAAUCAACCGAGAUUCCCCCAGUAGCGGCGAGCGAACGGGGAGCAGCCCAGAGUCUGAAUCAGCUUGUGUGUUAGUGGAACGGUCUGGAAAGUCCGACGGUACAGGGUGAUAGUCCCGUACACCAAAAUGCACAGGCUGUGAACUCGAAGAGUAGGGCGGGACACGUGGUAUCCUGUCUGAAUAUGGGGGGACCAUCCUCCAAGGCUAAAUACUCCUGACUGACCGAUAGUGAACCAGUACCGUGAGGGAAAGGCGAAAAGAACCCCGGCGAGGGGAGUGAAAAAGAACCUGAAACCGUGUACGUACAAGCAGUGGGAGCACCUUCGGGUGUGACUGCGUACCUUUUGUAUAAUGGGUCAGCGACUUAUAUUCUGUAGCAAGGUUAACCGUAUAGGGGAGCCGCAGGGAAACCGAGUCUUAACUGGGCGUUAAGUUGCAGGGUAUAGACCCGAAACCCGGUGAUCUAGCCAUGGGCAGGUUGAAGGUUGGGUAACACUAACUGGAGGACCGAACCGACUAAUGUUGAAAAAUUAGCGGAUGACUUGUGGCUGGGGGUGAAAGGCCAAUCAAACCGGGAGAUAGCUGGUUCUCCCCGAAAGCUAUUUAGGUAGCGCCUCGUGAAUUCAUCUUCGGGGGUAGAGCACUGUUUCGGCUAGGGGGUCAUCCCGACUUACCAACCCGAUGCAAACUACGAAUACCGAAGAAUGUUAUCACGGGAGACACACGGCGGGUGCUAACGUCCGUCGUGAAGAGGGAAACAACCCAGACCGCCAGCUAAGGUCCCAAAGUCAUGGUUAAGUGGGAAACGAUGUGGGAAGGCACAGACAGCCAGGAUGUUGGCUUAGAAGCAGCCAUCAUUUAAAGAAAGCGUAAUAGCUCACUGGUCGAGUCGGCCUGCGCGGAAGAUGUAACGGGGCUAAACCAUGCACCGAAGCUGCGGCAGCGACACUAUGUGUUGUUGGGUAGGGGAGCGUUCUGUAAGCCUGCGAAGGUGACCUGUGAGGGUUGCUGGAGGUAUCAGAAGUGCGAAUGCUGACAUAAGUAACGAUAAAGCGGGUGAAAAGCCCGCUCGCCGGAAGACCAAGGGUUCCUGUCCAACGUUAAUCGGGGCAGGGUGAGUCGACCCCUAAGGCGAGGCCGAAAGGCGUAGUCGAUGGGAAACAGGUUAAUAUUCCUGUACUUGGUGUUACUGCGAAGGGGGGACGGAGAAGGCUAUGUUAGCCGGGCGACGGUUGUCCCGGUUUAAGCAUGUAGGCUGGUUAAUCCAGGCAAAUCCGGAUAAUCAAGGCUGAGGUGUGAUGACGAGGCACUACGGUGCUGAAGUAACAAAUGCCCUGCUUCCAGGAAAAGCCUCUAAGCAUCAGGUAACAUCAAAUCGUACCCCAAACCGACACAGGUGGUCAGGUAGAGAAUACCAAGGCGCUUGAGAGAACUCGGGUGAAGGAACUAGGCAAAAUGGUGCCGUAACUUCGGGAGAAGGCACGCUGGUGUGUAGGUGAAGUCCCUGCGGAUGGAGCUGAGACCAGUCGAAGAUACCAGCUGGCUGCAACUGUUUAUUAAAAACACAGCACUGUGCAAACACGAAAGUGGACGUAUACGGUGUGACGCCUGCCCGGUGCCGGAAGGUUAAUUGAUGGGGUUAUCCGUAAGGAGAAGCUCUUGAUCGAAGCCCCGGUAAACGGCGGCCGUAACUAUAACGGUCCUAAGGUAGCGAAAUUCCUUGUCGGGUAAGUUCCGACCUGCACGAAUGGCGUAAUGAUGGCCAGGCUGUCUCCACCCGAGACUCAGUGAAAUUGAACUCGCUGUGAAGAUGCAGUGUACCCGCGGCAAGACGGAAAGACCCCGUGAACCUUUACUAUAGCUUGACACUGAACAUUGAGCCUUGAUGUGUAGGAUAGGUGGGAGGCUUUGAAGCGUGGACGCCAGUCUGCGUGGAGCCAACCUUGAAAUACCACCCUUUAAUGUUUGAUGUUCUAACGUUGGCCCCUUACCGGGGUUGCGGACAGUGUCUGGUGGGUAGUUUGACUGGGGCGGUCUCCUCCCAAAGCGUAACGGAGGAGCACGAAGGUUAGCUAAUCCUGGUCGGACAUCAGGAGGUUAGUGCAAUGGCAUAAGCUAGCUUGACUGCGAGCGUGACGGCGCGAGCAGGUGCGAAAGCAGGUCAUAGUGAUCCGGUGGUUCUGAAUGGAAGGGCCAUCGCUCAACGGAUAAAAGGUACUCCGGGGAUAACAGGCUGAUACCGCCCAAGAGUUCAUAUCGACGGCGGUGUUUGGCACCUCGAUGUCGGCUCAUCACAUCCUGGGGCUGAAGUAGGUCCCAAGGGUAUGGCUGUUCGCCAUUUAAAGUGGUACGCGAGCUGGGUUUAGAACGUCGUGAGACAGUUCGGUCCCUAUCUGCCGUGGGCGCUGGAGAAUUGAGGGGGGCUGCUCCUAGUACGAGAGGACCGGAGUGGACGCAUCACUGGUGUUCGGGUUGUCAUGCCAAUGGCACUGCCCGGUAGCUAAAUGCGGAAGAGAUAAGUGCUGAAAGCAUCUAAGCACGAAACUUGCCCCGAGAUGAGUUCUCCCUGAGACUUUAAGUCUCCUGAAGGAACGUUAAAGACGAUGACGUUGAUAGGCCGGGUGUGUAAGCGCAGCGAUGCGUUGAGCUAACCGGUACUAAUGAACCGUGAGGCUUAACCUUACAACGCCGAAG
rnacentral:rRNA from 1 species